rnacentral:lncRNA from 1 species
CCAAAAUAUAAAUGAAUGUGUUUUCUGAACCUUACUCUUCAUCCCCACAGUCAGAAUGAAAGGAGACAAUUUAAAAUCACAGCUCUGGUCAUUUGCCUUUGCAAAACAUUUCAGAUAAGACCCUUUAAAAGUUCUUCUGGAUAGAUGUUUGUCUUCAUUUUUGAGUUAUUCUUAGAUUCUAAGAACACAUGAAGGACCAGCCACAAUACAAUCUGCUUUAGCACAGAAUUUGGAAUGAUCAGAACUGUUUUGGCCCUCAGAUUGCCAUUCAGAGUUAUCUUUCCAGAACAGGCUCUGAUAUGAAAUCCUGUGCUGUCAGCUCCUCUCUGUAUGUAAUAAAGACCCAAAGAUAUUGAGGAAGUGAGCCUGGGUGAAGACAGGGUACCAGCUUGGAUGGACAGCUGUUUUCAUGCCUGAAUUUGGAUGGACCAGUCCAGAUUGCCAGAGAUCCGGAGCUAUUUGAGCACCAAGAUAAUUGGACCCAGCAGCACCUGGGAAGUGUAAUCAAACAAGUUUAUCACCACAUAUUAUUGUCCUCUGAUCUUCUGCACUUUAUGGUAUGCAUAAAGCGAAUGGUCAAGACAUCUGGGAAAAUGUUGCUCAUUAUUGAAUCUUUACUAAGACAUACAUCCAGUUCAAGGUCCGGUGUUUCCAAUUUGCUGCUAACUCCAGACUCAUCCAACCUGACCCUUUGUUCAGGUCUGAGCUGUCUCUUAUGAGUCCUGACUUUCCCUUACCAACCUUAUAGUAACAUGACUUUCUGGCUUUAGACAAAGGCAAGGACACCACCAUAAUUUUUUAAAAUAG